UACGUAGGUGACAAGCGUUGUCCGGAUUUACUGGGCGUAAAGAGCGCGCAGGCGGUCGUUCAAGUCGAGUGUGAAAGCCCCCGGCUCAACUGGGGAGGGUCACUCGAUACUGAUCGACUUGAAGGCAGGAGAGGGAAGCGGAAUUCCCGGUGUAGUGGUGAAAUGCGUAGAUAUCGGGAGGAACACCAGUGGCGAAGGCGGCUUCCUGGCCUGCUCUUGACGCUGAGGCGCGAAAGCUAGGGUAGCAAACGG
rnacentral:rRNA from 1 species